UACGGAGGGUGCAAGCGUUAAUCGGAAUCACUGGGCGUAAAGCGCGCGUAGGUGGCUAUUUAAGUCAGAUGUGAAAGCCCUGGGCUCAACCUGGGAAUGGCAUUUGAUACUGGCAGACUAGAGUAUGGUAGAGGGGGGUAGAAUUCCUGGUGUAGCGGUGAAAUGCGUAGAUAUCAGGAGGAAUACCAGUGGCGAAGGCGACCCCCUGGGCCAAUACUGACGCUGAGGUGCGAAAGCGUGGGUAGCGAACAGG
rnacentral:rRNA from 1 species